GGAGAGGUGGCUGAGUGGUCGAAAGCGGCAGAUUGCUAAUCUGUUGUACGGCAGGAAACUCCGUACCGAGGGUUCGAAUCCCUCCUUCUCCG
rnacentral:tRNA from 1 species